AGAACGAACGCUGGCGGCAGGCCUAACACAUGCAAGUCGAGCGCUGUAGCAAUACAGAGCGGCGCACGGGUGAGUAACACGUGGGAACGUGCCCUUUGGUUCGGAAUAACUCAGGGAAACUUGAGCUAAUACCGGAUGAGCCCUAACGGGGAAAGAUUUAUCGCCGAAGGAGCGGCCCGCGUUGGAUUAGCUAGUUGGUGGGGUAAAAGCCUACCAAGGCAACGAUCCAUAGCUGGUUUGAGAGAACGACCAGCCACACUGGGACUGAGACACGGCCCAGACUCCUACGGGAGGCAGCAGUGGGGAAUCUUGGACAAUGGGGGAAACCCUGAUCCAGCCAUGCCGCGUGAGUGAUGAAGGCCCUAGGGUUGUAAAACUCUUUCGGGCGGGGACGAUAAUGACGGUACCCGCAGAAGAAGCUCCGGCUAACUUCGUGCCAGCAGCCGC
rnacentral:rRNA from 1 species